ensembl:lncRNA
AGCCAAUUCACAUUAAUAGAACACUUUCAUGUGAUCCAGGCAGAAAGGGGAUCCAUACACCAGCUAGGAGAGAAGGAGUGCAGAAGAUUAUAAAAAUCAGUGGUAAAUUGAAUGGUGUAUUUUCAUUUUUAGUCUAGAGGAAAACUGAAAUAGUUGUAAGGAUUUGUUUCAGAAAGGACUGCUUGUUGAUUUUACGUUGCCAUGUAACCACCAGAAUGUGUUUCAUAUGCAGGAUUUCAGAGAUAAAAUUAGCUGGCUGUUCUCUGGACAGACUAUGCAGAUGUUUGACCACGUUCCUAAGUGAGAGCUGACCAUCAUCCACACCUAUAGGUGGAAAGCUACCUCUGGUGACCCAAACCUCUUUCUUAUAGAUCUUCGGGUAUCUAAAGAUACUUCUAGCCUUUCCUGCUAAGAGAACUUAGAUCAAAAUAGUACUUCAUCAGUUUGAGACUAUCAAGGAUUUUUACCAUUAUGUUAUUACGUUGAAAUAUUGUUGCUAACACGUAAGGCCAGAGUGGCUUCAAUUAUUUCUGCAUGUUUCUAAUAAACAGGGCUUAUAUUGCCAUUCUGUUUUGGUAGAGGGCUGGUAGUUGGCUAGAGGGGUCAGAUGGGCCCAUGGACAGAAAAGCUAAGCCUCGUUGUCUUAGUUUCCCUUACCCUGCCCUCCACAUCUGCAUCUGAAUCUACAUCUAUACCCACAUGCAUGCAUUUUUCCAUCUUUGACACAGAGAUCUGUGAGAAUGACAGGUUUGGGUGCUCAGCUCUGUGGACCAGUUAUCAGUUUGCAUGUGCUCCCAAAUCAGCUAGUUAGCAUUUUUCAUCAGGCGUUUUGACAGUCCCAAAGCAGUCUGUGGCAAGAAACUGAAGGCGACCUCAUUGAGGAGAAAGGCCUUAGCUGGUCCAUGUUAUCUGAGAGCUUGGUCAUUUAUCAGUAAAGCAAGUUGUCAGUGACUGGCUGAGCUUCAGUUGUCACCUUGGCACUGGUUUGUGGGACAGGUUAAAAAGACACCUGUCCAAAGGCAGCUUGUCAGCCUACAAAAAGAAAAGGAAAGAAAAAAGAAGUGAAACAAACGUCCCCAGGUCCAGCAGUGGCCUUCACACCUGCAGAAUGUGCCUGCAGAGCAUUUCUCCCUUAUAAAAAAUCAACUUAUAUUGUAAAUUGAUGGUUAGUUUGUGUGGCAUGAUGUGGAGUGAGAGGGACAGGAAUAGAAAGAGAAGAAAUCGUUUGGAGACCUUACAGAUGAUGGGGAUGGCAGAGGGAACAAGAGACAUCUCCGUGGGAGUUCAUACCGUAGAACAACCUCCAGAUUGAGGUGGGCUCCCUGCAUUCAUUUCCAGCUUCCAUUCCUCUGGAGGGAAGGAAGGAGGGUGGUGUUUGUGAAGAAUAUCAAGGAUGUUCCUCUUGUCACCUGAGGCUUUCUGUAACAUGCUCUUACACCUCUCAUCUUUUGUGGCAGUAUUAGAGAAUGACUGCCCUGUAGUUCUGGGCAGUUUUUAAUCAGUGUUGUGCUGCUGCUCCCCAUGAGGAAGGUGAAAACAAGCUUUCCUACUGACAGCUGCCCGUUCUCAAGAGAGAUGGGGAGGUGGAGUCACUGCAGAAAACUGUCAGAUCAGCUUCUGUGUUUUGUGAUGCCAG